AGAUGUUAACCCUGUGUGGGAGAAUGCCUUAUCCAGGUGUAGUCUUGUGCACACCUUUCCAGACCCAUAGCAGUGGUUUGGUUGCAGAGCUGUGAUUAUAUGGACAUUCUCUACACCUGGUAUACAGCAGUUCAGACAUGCAGUCCCAUUGGAAUGUGCUGAUAGAGGACCACAAGUUAUGGAAAGCAGACGCAGAAGAAGCACCACAUUUCGGACAUCUGCCAGACUCCUCCUCCAUAUAGUGCUUCC